rnacentral:rRNA from 1 species
UACGUAGGGGGCAAGCGUUGUCCGGAAUUAUUGGGCGUAAGGAGCGUGUAGGCGGUCCGGUAAGUCAGCUGUGAAAGUCAAGGGCUCAACCCUUGAAUGCCGGUUGAUACUGUCGGGCUAGAGUCCGGAAGAGGCGAGUGGAAUUCCCGGUGUAGCGGUGAAAUGCGCAGAUAUCGGGAGGAACACCAAUGGCGAAGGCAGCUCGCUGGGACGGUACUGACGCUGAGGCGCGAAAGCGUGGGGAGCAAACAGG